rnacentral:rRNA from 1 species
GAUGAACGCUAGCGGCAGGCUUAAUACAUGCAAGUCGAGGGGCAGCACGGUUAGCAAUAACUGGUGGCGACCGGCGCACGGGUGCGUAACACGUAUACAAUCUACCUUAAACAGGGGGAUAGCCUUUCGAAAGAGAGAUUAAUACCCGUAAUAAAUUGAACGGCAUCGUUUGAUUUUGAAAGCUCCGGCGGUUUGAGAUGAGUAUGCGUCUGAUUAGCUAGUUGGUGAGGUAACGGCUCACCAAGGCGACGAUCAGUAGGGGAUCUGAGAGGACUAACCCCCACACUGGUACUGAGACGCGGACCAGACUCCUACGGGAGGCAGCAGUAAGGAAUAUUGGUCAAUGGAGGCAACUCUGAACCAGCCAUGCCGCGUGCAGGAUGACGGCCCUAUGGGUUGUAAACUGCUUUUAUACAAGAGAAAACCCUGGUACGUGUACCAGGUUGAUAGUAUUGUAAGAAUAAGCAUCGGCUAACUUCGUGCCAGCAGCCGCGGUAAU